CACCUCCUCCUCCACCUCCACUUCCUACUCCACCUCCACCUCCUCCCUGCAUACAAACAAACAUGCUCACAGCAUCACAACAACACCUCCACUUCCUACUCCACCUCCACCUCCUCCCUGCAUACAAACAAACAUGCUCACAGCAUCACAACAUCACCUCCCUAUGCAGAGAACACACACCGUUACCAUCACCACCAUCACCUCCACCUCCACCACCAUCACCACCACCUCCUCCUCCACCUCCUCCUCCACCUCGUCCUCCACCUCCACCUCCACCUCCUCCUCCUCCUCCACCUCGUCCUCCACCUCCACCUCCUACUCCACCUCCACCUCCUCCCUGCGUACAAACAAACAUGCUCACAGCAUCAUAAUAUCACCUCCCUGUGCAGAGAACACACACACAUCGUUAUUACCAUCACCACCAUCACCACCAUCACCUCCACCACUGCUACCACCCCACAUGCAGAACAGAAACAGACACACAACACCACACCCCUACCAUUACUACCCCUGAAGGACAGUGGUUUGGAGAAGGCAUCACCUUUAACUGGCCUGAGAACCAGAUGCUAGGGGACUAACCGGGUGCUACAAAAAGAAAUCUGCUGGAUAUCAGACUCUGAGGAGCCUGAGACACAUUCCCCCAAAAGCUUAUGCUUUCUAGUCUACCCACAUCGGCCAUGACACAGUCCGACGCCGCAGUGUCUUCCACACUGACUUCCACAGUGGCGGAAAGCUGAGCUCUGCCAGCGCAGUGAUGACGCUGCCGGAAGAAGCGAGCUGCCCCUCAGACCUGCAGCAGGUGGAUAAUAAUGUUCUGCCUUUCCUGGAGCUAAGGCAGGCCAAUGCUGGGCCAUCCUCCCUCAAUGAAAUGCAGUCGUGCAAACCAGGAGGCGAGAGGAACAUGCGCAGGUGACUCUACAUGAGGAUAAAUGCUGAGGUGCCCCCAGAACGAUCCUCCUGCAGCAGGUGUCUCAGAAACGAGCUGCCGUCUCCAGGAGAGUUCAUGCUCUGGCACGUGACUUUCUCAGCCAUCAGACGGAGUAACAGCGGUGCCUUCCACGUAGACACGUUGGUGUUGAUGACAUGGUGUCUGGCUUAAAAUCAAUGCUCAAGGAAUGCUGGGAUUUCAAGUUACUCUCUAUUUUUAAAUCUAUAUGUGCAUUUAUCUUUUUAAAGUUGUUGUUUUUCUUUUGCUCAUGAUGAUCGAAGGCUGGGACCCCUUGUCCGUUUCUCUUAAAGGCCAUACAGUCUAACACAGCAUCACUUCUGACAAAAGGCCAGAGCGCAGCGGCCCCUGGGUGCUCAGAGUUACAACUACACAGAGUUUUUUUUUUUCUAUUUUGGUGAGAGUAACACCAGGACACAGAGACGGACAUUCCCACACCUGGGUUUCCAUCAUACCGUGUCCUGCCCACAAUUUCCAUCACAAGGCUACCCACAGCUGUCACCAGGAACAGCUGCGUGGGAAGAAAGGGGCUUAGAAGAUUGGCCUCAGCUCUGCAGAGAAGCCCACGCAAGAGGUCCCCUGAGCUAAGCCAGGUGGAAUGAGGAGGGUGUCAACAUGCGCACUGCGUCUCAGGCCACCCGUGCGACAUUUUCACCGAGAAGUUUUCUAAAGCAUGGAGCUGGUCUUCAGCUCACUGGUUCAUCAAGCAUACUACACAUCCAGCACCUGUGCAGGCAGUCCGCAGUCCUGCGUAAGGCUCUGCCCGGAAGACAUCCCGAAUCCCGGCUCAGCCAGCACCUCUCCCUGCCCCAGCAGCUCCCAGCCAGCACCUCUCCCUGCCCCAGCAGCUCCCAGCCAGCACCUCUCCCUGCCCCAGCAGCUCCCAGCCAGUGCCUUGGAAAAGGCAACCCGGACAUGUCCGUCCCUGGCCAGGAGGCACCGCCCAGCCCACCACUCUUAGGAGACCCCAGCAAAGUUUUCACUGGAAUCAUUUCCUCCUUUACAAAAUUGCCUGAAUCAGAAAAAAAAAGACACGUUUCAACCUUUCCCAUUUAGAUAAGCCUGGUGACCCAUUUAGUCCACUCUAAGCAACUUUAGCCAGAAGAACAAGGAUUAGACUUUGCCAAGUGGCCAGGGCACUCCACGGGCAAGCCCAGGAUGGCACUAUGUGUUCUACAUACACAUAUGCACCCACGUGUGUAUUGUAUAUAUGGACUACACUCCCGUACACGUGUUAGAUGCGUAGAUACGCUCGCCUUAAAAUAUCAUGUGCAUACACUGUUUGUAAAUACGUAGUA